rnacentral:lncRNA from 1 species
GGUUGCCGGGCGUGUCGGGCCUGGGUGCCUCCUGGGAAGCCACUUGCUGGGAGGAGGGGUUCCCGGGCGCAGUCUCCCGCCGGCACAAAGGUGGGGCCCAGCGGACGGAGCAACAGCGACACGCGGGCGCGUGGCGGGCGUCGGGUGCGCAAUCUCACCAGGGCGAGGAGUGAGGCGCACGGCGCAUUAAAUGAGCCGACAGGAGGGGCGUUACUCGUCCAAAUCAGGUGAACAGUG